UACGAAGGGUGCAAGCGUUACUCGGAAUUACUGGGCGUAAAGCGUGCGUAGGUGGUUUGUUAAGUCUGUUGUGAAAGCCCCGGGCUCAACCUGGGAAUGGCAUUUGGGACUGCAAGGCUGGAGUGUGGCAGAGGAGACUGGAAUUCCUGGUGUAGCAGUGAAAUGCGUAGAUAUCAGGAGGAAUACCGAUGGCGAAGGCAGGUCUCUGGGCUGACACUGACGCUCAUGCACGAAAGCGUGGGGAGCAAACAGG
rnacentral:rRNA from 1 species